rnacentral:lncRNA from 10 species
GGAGAGCUUAUAGAAGUUUCAGUGCAUGGGGAGAUAAUGAGAGUAAGAUAAAGAGAGGAAGCAUUUCUGAGAUGUUUUGCUGAGAGUUUAGAUUGUGCACCCUCUCAGGCAUUUUCGAUUGCAGUAAAGAGACUUCAGUAAACAUUAAAACACUUAAUUACUUUGUGAACUUUUGACCACUGUUUCUUUAAAUACAGACUGCAUUUAGGAUUGAGCUGUGAGGAUCCUGGGCUUUAAAUAGGUUCUAGCCUGUUACAAUAUUAUACAAUGCUGGGCAAAGUUAGAGGGAGCUUUGUGAGCAUGCAGGAAAGUGGACUUGAACUUAGAAGAUCCAAAAAGGAGCAAGAGACACCUAAACUGGGACUUGGAGGAUGAAGGGGUUGCAAUGGGGAAAGAUAGUGCAGGAGAGGGUAAAUGAGCAGAGGCAGGAACUGGGGAGAGCCAGGCAUGUUUCAGGAUCUGAAAGUAGGAGGGCAUGGCUGGAACACACUAGCCAGAAGGCAGAAGAAGGCUGUAGAUGAGGCUGUGAGGUCGUAAGGGUCUAAACUCCAUCCUCUUGGCAUUGGGAAACCAUCAAGCACUGUAAACAUUGAAAAGGGACGAUUCACAUGGCGCUAGUUAGUUGUUGGCCCAGCAAAGAGCCCGAUUCUCAAGAGUGGAGUUUUUUUCAUUACCCCAUACUGACCCCACAUCCCACCCUCAAGAAUGGAAAGCUGCAAACUUCAAGAAAAUUAACAAGGAACCAGAAGAUGGCUGGAAAGUUUCCAUAGCCUCCUAGCAAGCAGAGGGUAUUUUAUACCUUCUUGCCUAGUGCAAGACCUAGAGAGGAAAACAUCAUUAUGGAAUGAACUUGAUUGAGAGGAGAUGGCAAAUAGUACAGAUGUAAAAUACUUCAGAGACAAAGACUUCAUCUUCUCAUCAGAGUGUGAUAUUUAAGAAUGUGGGCUCUGCCAACAGACUACCUGAUUUGAAUCCUGGCUUCACCAUUUUUUAGCUGUGUGCCCCUGGGCAAGGUGUUUUCCUGCUCAUCGAUGGAGCAAUAAUGAGCACAGACACAUUUCACACUGUCAACUUGCUUUAGCAUCCUCCAGCCUUCUGACACAACUCGUCUCCAGCUACAAUGAGUGCCAGCUCCAUUUAUGUAUCCUCCUUCCCAAAUCUCCUCUAUAUCUGAUUUCACAUGGAAAUAAUCACAGUCAGAGUGUUUAGGUAAGAUUCGACUGGAUGCUCUGGUUUUGUACAUCAAAGAAAAAAUGGUUACAAAGUGAUGACUUAUUACACAGAUUUGGAUGAAGCUCAGGGACAUUGGGAAGAGAAGACUUUGUUCGGUUGUAGAAGAUUCUGUUACAUCCUUCCUCAAAGACAAUGAUUACCACUUACUCGUGGUGCAUUUGCAUACCUUCAAAAAUCCAAGAAAGGAAACGGAGUCCUCUCCACUGAAGAUCUACUCUAAGGGAUCUGCUGCCUCCAUUCAGACACAACUAUCUGGAAGCUUCUCAAGACUGAAAAAAGUUACAUCUCACUAGCUACACGACAAUAUGUAAAGUAUUUGGCAAUGUGCCUUGUUAAGCAUUAAAGAAAUGGCAGUUAUUAUUAAGCUGUCACUAUUUUGAAGUUUUGCAUUUUUUGACAUUGAAAAUAUAAGAUGAAACAAAUAGUAAAAUAAGGGAAGAGGAGGUUCAUCAAUGUAUAUUUUGCAAAUACUUAGGGUUUUUUUUUAGCUGUUUCUUUUUAAAAAUUCUGGAU